rnacentral:rRNA from 1 species
UACGAAGGGGGCUAGCGUUGCUCGGAAUCACUGGGCGUAAAGCGCACGUAGGCGGAUCUUUAAGUCAGGGGUGAAAUCCUGGAGCUCAACUCCAGAACUGCCUCUGAUACUGGGGAUCUUGAGUCCGGAAGAGGUAAGUGGAACUGCGAGUGUAGAGGUGAAAUUCGUAGAUAUUCGCAAGAACACCAGUGGCGAAGGCGGCUUACUGGUCCGGUACUGACGCUGAGGUGCGAAAGCGAUGGGG